rnacentral:rRNA from 1 species
AGAGUUUGAUCAUGGCUCAGGAUGAACGCUGGCGGUCUGCUUAACACAUGCAAGUCGAACGGGCUCUUUCGGGAGCUAGUGGCGGACGGGUGAGUAACGCGUGAGAAUCUGCCAAAAGGACUGGGACAACCACUGGAAACGGUGGCUAAUACCGGAUGAGCCGCAACGUAAAAGAGGAAACUCGCCUUUUGAGGAGCUCGCGUCUGAUUAGCUAGUUGGUGAGGUAAUGGCUCACCAAGGCGACGAUCAGUAGCUGGUCUGAGAGGAUGAUCAGCCACACUGGGACUGAGACACGGCCCAGACUCCUACGGGAGGCAGCAGUGGGGAAUUUUCCGCAAUGGGCGAAAGCCUGACGGAGCAAGACCGCGUGAGGGAGGAAGGCUCUUGGGUUGUAAACCUCUUUUGUCAGGGAAGAACACAAUGACGGUACCUGAAGAAUCAGCAUCGGCUAGCUCCGUGCCAGCAGCCGCGGUAAUACGGGGGAUGCAAGCGUUAUCCGGAAUUAUUGGGCGUAAAGCGUCCGCAGGUGGCUAAUCAAGUCUGCUGUCAAAGAUUGGGGCUUAACCCCAAAAAGGCAGUGGAAACUGAGAAGCUAGAGUGCAGUAGGGGUAGAGGGAAUUCCCGGUGUAGCGGUGAAAUGCGUAGAGAUCGGGAAGAACAUCGGUGGCGAAAGCGCUCUACUGGACUGCAACUGACACUCAGGGACGAAAGCUAGGGGAGCGAAUGGGAUUAGAUACCCCCGUAGUCC